rnacentral:rRNA from 1 species
AGGGAGCCUGAGAAACGGCUACCACAUCAAAGGAAG